AUGAAUCAUGCCGUGUCCAGACUCCAGCGACUGUCUUAUAUAAGUGCCGUGGGCUGGACCCUCCCAGCAGGACGGCGGGAGAAGUUAUGUGUGGCGGGAGAGCCUGAGGUUUUCCUUGAUUACUCCCUCCAUCUGCCAUUGGCUACAUGUCCCGCCCCUUAACUCAUGCCAUUGGUUGAGCUAAUAAUGCGGCAUCAGGCAGGUCAGUAUGUUUCCAUUAUUACACUUUAUGAGGCAACUAACAAAUGACUGACUUAUAGUUGUCUGUAUGUAUUAAACUGGGAAACAAGAACGCAUUUUGACAUUAAAAAUUAGUUUUACCUUUGAGGUUUUCAUUCAGCCUGUCUAUGAAUCUUAAAGGGAUAGUUGGAUAGUAAAUGAAAAUUCUGUCAUUAAUUACUCAUCCUCAUGUCGUUGAAUGUCAAAGUCUGACACGGAAGAGAAGAAAUUGUUGAAUAAAGUCAAGGUUUUUUUAAUUUGCGCACAAAAAGUAUUCUCGUAGCUUCAAAACAUU
rnacentral:lncRNA from 1 species